rnacentral:ncRNA from 1 species
AUUGAAGAGGCGCAGCUGACAAGAGUAAGCUAGAAGAGCCCGCCAGGCGAUGAUCUAGCUGAAAGGGGAUGCUGCCGAAGCGCCCGCACCGGCGAUGCGGGAGAGCUGGGCUAUUGCUGAAGAGGCAAUAGACUGUCGCAAGGUUUCUUGCGUUGAGC